rnacentral:snoRNA from 1 species
CUGGAGAUGAUGACAGCUUCAGACUGACCGCCCUGAUGGUCACUUGUGUUCGUACUGUCUGAUCCGC